rnacentral:misc_RNA from 1 species
UUUCCGUAGGUGAACCAGCGGAAGGAUCAUUACAGAGAUCGUGCCCUUCGGGGUAGACCUCCCACCCUGUGUUAUUUACGUAUGCUGCUUUGGCGGGCCGCCUCCGGGCUCUCGGCUUCGGCCGAGGUGUGCCCGCCAGAGAACCCACAACCCUGUGUUUAGUGUCGUCUGAGUAUUAUCAAAUAAGUUAAAACUUUCAACAACGGAUCCCUUGGUUCUG